CUGCUCUCGUGCAGCAGCCAGUGCUCAUUAUUUAACGUCUGCACGGUGCACAGGAACCAAGGAACCGGCCAUUUCUCAGUUAUCACAAUCAAGAAGAGGCGAAGGACUGUGAGGGAAAAUGAAUACAUUAAUACUCUUUGUGAUGCUGUCUCUGCGUUGGACAAAUGCUGCAAGUACAACUACAAGUGCAACCUCUUCGAGCGUAUUGUUACCAUCAUCAACCACGACAACAACAGCAAGUUCAGUGACAUCAACAAUACAACUGUCAGCUGCAAUAUCAACAGCGAGUUCAACAACUGCUGGGUCAACAACUACAUCAACAGCAUCAUUAAUAUCAAGUGUGCCAUUAUCUGCAUCAACACCUACACCAUCUGUUUCAACUACACAAACAAUCAUUGGCUCAGCAAGUUCAACAUCAGUAGCGACAUCAAAUCCAACAUCUGCAUCAACACCAUCACCAUCUGUUUCAACAACACAACCAAUUAUUAGCUCAGCAAGUUCAACAUCAGUAGCGACAUCAAAUCCAACAUCUGCAUCAACACCAUCACCGUCUGUUUCAACAACACAGACAAGCCUUAGUUCAGCAAGUUCAACAUCAGUAGUGACAUCAAAUCCAACAUCUGCAUCAACACCAUCACCGUCUGUUUCAACAACACAACCAAUUAUUAGCUCAGCAAGUUCAACAUCAGUAGCGACAUCAAAUCCAACAUCUGCAUCAACACCAUCACCAUCUGUUUCAACAACACAAACAAGCCUUAGUUCAGCAAGUUCAACAUCAGUAGCGACAUCAAAUCCCACAUCUGCAUCAACAC